rnacentral:rRNA from 1 species
UACAGAGGUGGCAAGCGUUGUUCGGAAUUACUGGGCGUAAAGGGCGCGUAGGCGGUUCGUUAAGUCCUGUGUGAAAGCCCCCGGCUCAACUGGGGAGGGUCACUUGAUACUGAUCGACUCGAAGGCAGGAGAGGGAAGCGGAAUUCCCGGUGUAGUGGUGAAAUGCGUAGAUAUCGGGAGGAACACCAGUGGCGAAGGCGGCUUCCUGGCCUGUUCUUGACGCUGAGGCGCGAAAGCUAGGGGAGCAAACGGG